rnacentral:sRNA from 1 species
UGUGAUCAUUGGCUCCACCCUCUGUGUU